UUUCACAGUUUUAUUAUUAAAGUUACGAUUUGACGCUUUAUGUAUUUUGCAAUCUUUUAACGUGGGACGAUAUAAUAUAUCAUUUCCUACACAGUAAAGAAAUGAAAUAUCAUGCAGCUUGUAGGUCUAGUGAGGUUUUAGAAAUGACCUCAUGUCUUAUACAUGAAAAUAUAAAAAUAACGGAGGUUAGGCGAAAGGUAACAUCUUGUGUUAACUGCUACUGAUUAUACGUCAUCAGAUACGUCGCCUAAUCCUGAUGACGUAUUUCUGAUACGGCACAUAAAAUUUAUCAGCAAUGAGACGGAAGAGUCAAGAAGUUUCGUCAUUAAUCUAUCAAAGGAUAAAAUUUAUCAAUACAUGUUACCCGAUGGAAGGGAGUUUUAGUGUUGAAUUCCGAUCUUUUUUCUAAAAUAAUUUUACUUGAUUUCAUUACUUUAUCAGAAAAAAACAUAAAAGAAAGAUGGGGGAGGAAAAAAAAAACCUUAGCAUCAGUCGUGAAGAAUAUUUGAUGAACAAACAGAGUAGAAUUACGUAUCGUCAUCGUAUAAAAGAAUUAAUGGAAUUAUCAGUAAAGGUUCAGUGAAUAUAUAGAAGAAUGUAUGAAUGGCGUGAACCUCACUCCAUUCAGAGAAUAUCCUAUUGAAUAUCUCGUCCCAUUCUACCGAAUAGAGUAAACCAUUCAGUAGAUGGUAGAUUGCGACAAGUUGAAUUUAUAAAAUCUGCAACGAAUGAACGAUUUGGUGUUGAUUCCAAGAAAGAAUCGUAUUGACAUUAGAGAUGAAUUGAAUAGUCAACAAAAAGCUUAAAAUAGUGAAGAUUAUCAAAGAACUGAUAUGAAACUGAAAUAAAAAUAAGUGUUACGAAUUGUAAUAGUUUUAAAAUUUUCUGUAUUUGAUUUUGAAUUCAGGUAGAAUGAGAGAAUUGAUCAUUUAUGUAUUCUAAUCGAUUUUAAUGAACUUAUUUUAAAAUUAAUUUGUACUCAUUAAAGCCAAUUAUAAUAUGCUCAUUUCAUUUUAAAUAUUUUUAUAAAUACUAUCGAAAUUUUUUGGGAAUUAAUAUCAUUAAGAGUACACUCAUUGACUGAAAAAAACACACGGCAUAUGAUUAUGUCACAGACAGGUAUGUAAAUGAUUGUAGUUGUGAUCCGGUUGCACGCUAGGUAAUUCCAACAGAGUGCUACUCCCUGUAUCUUAUAAAAAGGCUCGCAGAGGCUCAUUGUAUUCAAAAUUUUUAAUACCUUUUGUUUGGAAUCUUCGACGUCAACAAUGUCUGCAAGAUGCAAUCAAAGACAUUACGCACAGCUGACGGAGUUGAGGUUUCUGAGGAAGCACAAAGGCAGUUUCACUGAAUUGCUUGCUAUCAGGAUCGUUCUGACCUGCCUGUGAGGUGUUGUGGGAAUUGGAUACGUUAGGACACACACGACGGCUAAGCUUCAAAAGCCCCAGCACAUCAUCAGAAGAGAUGAUCGUGAGACAAGCACGAACAUCUUCAACAGCGUUUUUGCUCACCUCCAGAGACAUGUGGAAGCCUCUCUACGAAACUGUUUCUUUCCGAACUAGCGUAGAAAAAUUUUUAUGCUCGGCGACUAUUAUGAGUCCUGACUUUGUCAGCUUCGUCUACAGUGGUGCCAUGACAGAAAAGCAUGGACUGCUACAGACCAGAAGCGUGUCUUUAGUGACGAAUCCCGGUUCUGUUUGGGAACGGACUACCACCGCGUUAGAGUCACUAGUGAAUGCUUCAAUAUCCUUUAUUGCUGAACGGCACACUACCCGCACUGCUGGCAUGCUGGUCUGAGGCUUGUAUGCAAGUCGGUCGCCUCUAGUAGUGUUAUGAUGGUACAACAUCCAGGAAAUCCUGCGCCUUAUGUGUUGCCUUUUAUGCCAGGACUUUUAGAUAGCCAUUUUCCAGCAAGAGAAUGCUCGGAUGCACACAGCUAGAGUUUCCCAGAAAUGUCUCCGCCAUGUUUCCAGUUGCCAGACUUCUUUGGUCUGCCUAAUUCCCAGAUUUGUCAUCUAUUGAGCAUUUAUGGACUAGAUGGGAUGCCAGCUUUGGCCAUCCAUAAGUGGAGCGGCAGUUGUAACACGUGUGGACAAUUCUGUUGGUUAUAUGGUGCCUGCAUGCCCGAUCUUAUCUCCGCAUAUAUCCAGACAAGAGAAAGUCCUACAAAAUAUCAAAGGUUCGUUUAAAUUGUAACAUAGUUUCAUAAGAAGUUUCCUCUUCUUUGUCAUGUUAUUGUAAUCACUUAAAAUUAACUAAAAAUAUAUUCGGAAACUUAGAAACCUGGACAGAGAGGACACAGUCAUUACAAUUAUUUAUUAUUAGUUUAAAAAAAAACAAGAUUUUAAACACAAUGACAAAAAUAUUCAGUGUUACUUUUAACUACGAAAAUGUAUAUAACUUUCUUAA